rnacentral:ncRNA from 1 species
UUUCGGUUGGGGUAAACUUCGCGAAAGCGGGGGACGCUAAAGUCAUGGAUCUAAGGCUUAAAGCAAAUGCUUGCCAGCGCAGGAAAGCUAAGAUCGCCAGACUACAAGA